CACGUAGUUAGCCGGUGCUUCUUUACCCAUUACCGUCACUCACGCUUCGUCACAGGCGAAAGCGGUUUACAACCCGAGGGCCGUCAUCCCGCACGCGGCGUUGCUGCAUCAGGCUUCCGCCCAUUGUGCAAUAUUCCCCACUGCUGCCUCCCGUAGGAGUCUGGGCCGUAUCUCAGUCCCAAUGUGGCCAGUCACCCUCUCAGGCCGGCUACCCGUCAAAGCCUUGGUAAGCCACUACCCCACCAACAAGCUGAUAAGCCGCGAGUCCAUCCCCAACCGCCGAAACUUUCCAACCCCCACCAUGCAGCAGGAGCUCCUAUCCGGUAUUAGCCCCAGUUUCCUGAAGUUAUCCCAAAGUCAAGGGCAGGUUACUCACGUGUUACUCACCCGUUCGCCACUCGAGCACCCACAAAAGCAGGCCUUUCCGUUCGACUUGCAUGUGUUAAGCACGCCGCCAGCGUUCGUCCUGAGCCAGGACGUACAAACGUCU
rnacentral:rRNA from 1 species